GCCGAGGUGGAGGCGCCCUCACUGCCCGCCGUCUGCUCGCCGUCGCUGCGUGCAUCCUCGCUCCAUGGCGCUCCUCCUGCGGCUGCUGCCCCUCGCCCUGGCGCUGGCCCUGGACCCCGCCACCACCCUGGCGGGCCCCGCCAAGUCGCCCUACCAGCUGGUGCUGCAGCACAGCCGGCUCCGGGGCCGACAGCACGGCCCCAACGUGUGUGCGGUGCAGAAGCUCAUCGGCACCAACAAGAAGUACUUCACCAACUGCAAGCAGUGGUACCAGAGGAAGAUCUGUGGCAAAUCGACAGUCAUCAGCUACGAGUGCUGUCCUGGCUACGAAAAGGUCCCGGGAGAGAAGGGCUGUCCCGCAGCCCUACCGCUCUCAAACCUUUACGAGACGCUGGGAGUCGUCGGAUCAACCACCACUCAGCUGUACACGGACCGUACCGAGAAGCUGAGGCCUGAGAUGGAGGGGCCCGGCAGCUUCACCAUCUUCGCCCCCAGCAAUGACGCCUGGGCUUCCUUGCCAGCUGAAGUGCUGGACUCCCUGGUGAGCAACGUCAACAUUGAGCUGCUGAACGCCCUCCGCUACCACAUGGUGAACAGACGCGUGCUGACGGACGAGCUGAAACACGGCCUGGCCCUCACCUCCAUGUACCAGAACUCCGACAUCCAGAUCCACCACUACCCCAACGGGAUCGUGACUGUCAACUGUGCCCGGCUGCUGAAAGCCGACCACCACGCAACCAACGGAGUGGUACACCUCAUUGACAAGGUCAUCUCCACCACCACCAACAACAUCCAGCAGAUCAUCGAGAUCGAGGACACCUUCGAGACCCUUCGGGCUGCUGUGGCUGCCUCGGGGCUCAACACCCUGCUUGAAGGCGACGGCCAGUACACACUCUUGGCCCCCACCAAUGAGGCCUUCAAGAAGAUUCCUGCUGAGACCUUGAACCGGAUACUGGGUGACCCAGAGGCCUUGAGAGACCUGCUCAAGAACCACAUCCUGAAGUCGGCCAUGUGUGCGGAAGCCAUCGUCUCAGGGCUGUCUGUGGAGACGCUGCAGGGCACCACGCUGGAGGUGGGCUGCAGCGGCGACAUGCUCACCAUCAACGGGAAGCCCAUCAUCUCCAAUAAAGACGUCCUGGCCACCAAUGGCGUGAUCCACUUCAUCGAGGAGCUGCUCAUCCCAGACUCAGCCAAGACGCUGUUUGAGUUGGCUGCAGAGUCCGAUGUCUCCACUGCCAUCGAUCUUUUCAAACAAGCGGGCCUCAGCUCCCAUCUCUCUGGAAAUGAGCCGCUGACUCUCCUGGCCCCCCUGAAUUCUGUCUUCAAAGAUGGAACCCCUCGUGUGGAUGCCCGCACAAAGAACUUGCUUCUGAACCACAUGGUUAAAGAGCCGCUGGCCUCCAAGUAUCUGUACCACGGGCAGACCCUGGACACUCUGGGCGGCAAAAAGCUACGCGUUUUUGUUUAUCGGAAUAGCCUGUGCAUCGAGAACAGCUGCAUCGCCGCCCACGACAAGAGGGGGAGGUACGGGACCCUGUUCACCAUGGACCGCAUGCUGACCCCUCCGAUGGGGACCGUCAUGGACGUCCUGAAGGGGGACAAUCGCUUCAGCAUGCUGGUGGCCGCCAUCCAGACUGCAGGGCUGACGGAGACGCUGAACCGGGACGGGGUCUACACAGUCUUCGCCCCCACAGAUGAAGCUUUCCAAGCCAUGCCACCGGCAGAACGGAACAAACUUUUGGGCAAUGCCAAGGAACUUGCCAACAUCCUGAAAUACCACGUUGGUGAUGAAAUCCUGGUUAGCGGAGGCAUCGGGGCCCUGGUGCGACUGAAGUCUCUCCAAGGCGACAAGCUAGAAAUCAGCUCAGUAAAAAAACAAUGUUGUGUGUGUCAACAAAGAGCCCGUUGCAGAAGCCGACAUCAUGGCUACCAAUGGCGUGGUCUAUGCCAUCUCCAGUGUCCUGCAGCCUCCAGCCAACAGACCUCAGGAACGAGGGGAUGAGCUGGCAGACUCUGCACUUGAGAUUUUCAGACAGGCAGCAGCCUUUUCCAGGGCUGCCCAGAGCUCUGUGAAGCUAGCCCCAGUGUACCAGCGGUUACUGGAGAGGAUGAAGCACUAGUGCGAAGCACCGAGGGAGCAGUGCGCCUCUGCAGCUCCUGGCCAGUUUCUCCCAGUUCGCCAAAGAGACUGAAUGUUUUCGAAACCAAAUAGCACACUUCAAUGUACACGGGCCGCACCAGAGUGAGCUCUGAGCCUUGGGCGGGUUGGGGGAGGAAGGAGAGAGAUGUACUUUUCAUUUUUGUCCUCUCUAAACAUGGCCGUUAGCCCACUGCGUAGAGAGACCCGGAUGUCCCUGCCUGACAUUUGCUUUCAGAAAGGACCUGUCCCGAACAUGGAACUUCCUGCCUAUGCCCACUGCUCCGGAAAAGGGAACCGAAGCUUGUGGUGUUUCCACAACAUGCAUCAAACAACCCGGCGCAGUGGGGCGUCCUGGCACUGUCUGUGCUAGCUGUUCACGCUGGAGAAAUGGCGUCACUAUAAGCUAUGAGUUGAACGCUCUGUCAAAUGUGUCUCAAGUCUACACGUGGCUUGGACACUUCUGUUGGCCAGGUAGAUAAGAGAGGGUGGGUAGAGCACGCAGAGCCCAGGAUUUCCCAGGCGUGGCAGAGCCAUGAUGUGUUUGUAAUAAUAAAGCCAAAGAAACGUG